AAUCAACGCUGGCGGCGUGCCUAACACAUGCAAGUCGAGCGGGAAAGGGGGCUUCGGCCCCUGAGUAUAGCGGCGGACGGGUGAGUAACACGUGGGUAAUUUGCCCUUGGGUGUGGAAUAACUCAGGGAAACUUGAGCUAAUACCGCAUGACAUCCUCUUCGCACACGAGUUGAGGAUCAAAGCCGGGGACCCUUCGGGGCCUGGCGCCUGAGGAGAAGCCCGCGCCCGAUUAGCAGUUGGUGAGGUAAUGGCUCACCAAGGCUACGAUCGGUAGCCGGCCUGAGAGGGCGGACGGCCACACUGGGACUGAGACACGGCCCAGACUCCUACGGGAGGCAGCAGUGGGAAUUUUUGUCAAUGGGGGAAACCCUGAACAAGCAACGCCGCGUGGAGGACGACGA
rnacentral:rRNA from 1 species